GAUGAACGCUGGCGGCGUGCCUAAUACAUGCAAGUCGAGCGAACAGAUGAGAAGCUUGCUUCUCUGAUGUUAGCGGCGGACGGGUGAGUAACACGUGGGUAACCUACCUAUAAGACUGGGAUAACUCCGGGAAACCGGGGCUAAUACCGGAUAAUACUUUGAACCGCAUGGUUCAAUAGUGAAAGACGGUUUCGGCUGUCACUUAUAGAUGGACCUGCGCCGUAUUAGCUAGUUGGUAAGGUAACGGCUUACCAAGGCGACGAUACGUAGCCGACCUGAGAGGGUGAUCGGCCACACUGGAACUGAGACACGGUCCAGACUCCUACGGGAGGCAGCAGUAGGGAAUCUUCCGCAAUGGGCGAAAGCCUGACGGAGCAAUGCCGCGUGAGUGAUGAAGGUCUUCGGAUCGUAAAACUCUGUUGUUAGGGAAGAACAAAUUUGUUAGUAACUGAACAAGUCUUGACGGUACCUAACCAGAAAGCCACGGCUAACUACGUGCCAGCCGCCGCGGUAA
rnacentral:rRNA from 1 species